rnacentral:rRNA from 1 species
CAGAUUGAACGCUGGCGGCAGGCCUAACACAUGCAAGUCGAACGGUAACAGGAAGCAGCUUGCUGCUUCGCUGACGAGUGGCGGACGGGUGAGUAAUGUCUGGGAAGCUGCCUGAUGGAGGGGGAUAACUACUGGAAACGGUAGCUAAUACCGCAUAAUGUCGCAAGACCAAAGAGGGGGACCUUCGGGCCUCUUGCCAUCGGAUGUGCCCAGAUGGGAUUAGCUUGUUGGUGGGGUAACGGCUCACCAAGGCGACGAUCCCUAGCUGGUCUGAGAGGAUGACCAGCCACACUGGAACUGAGACACGGUCCAGACUCCUACGGGAGGCAGCAGAAGGG